UGUUUUUUAUUAAACGAAUGUCCUGUUAAAUCCAGGUUGUGCACUCAAGUUAAUAAUCUCGUGCUACCACCUGUACUACCUGAAGUCUGAACUUUAAAUAUAAACAGAUAAGCCUGGUUCCUCUGAUCUGAGUUGCUACUCAGAUCCUCGUCAUCUCAAACCUGCAGUAGCUGCCAUCUCUCCGCCGCUGCUGCGAUCUCUCCACCAUAGCUGCCAUCUCUCCACUGUACCUGCAGUCUCUCCGUCGUAGCUGCCAUCUCUCAGCCGUAGCUGCCAUCUCUCCUCCGUAGCUACCAUCUCCCGCCGUAGCUGCCAUCUCUCCUCCGUAGCUACCAUCUCCCGCCGUUGCUGCGAUCUCUCUUUGGAUGAAGUAGAACUACGCUUGAAGAUAAAGCUGAAUUAUAAAAGAUAUCUCCUCUAUCAACCCUGAGUGCUAGAUUAACUCCUGUAAUCUCCAAGAUGAUCUUACCUGUACCUUCUAUUCCCCAGUCUCUGUCCGGAUAACAAUAGGUACAUAUUGGUUUCUUGUGAUGAGUGUGAGCUACUUCUUCGAGUUAUAAACAAUUGA